rnacentral:ncRNA from 1 species
CAGAGAUAAAAACACAGUCCGGUUGGUAGUCCGGACGCAGUCCACUGCAGAACCUGGACUGUCAGUAACCUGCCUCCUUUGGUUGUCCGUUCUCUGGGAAU